AGGACGAACGCUGGCGGCGUGCCUAACACAUGCAAGUCGAGCGGAGAUAAGCGGAUGGUAACUGAAGCUUGUCUUAGCGGCGGACGGGUGAGUAACACGUGGGCAACCUGCCUUGGAGUGGGGGAUAACACCGGGAAAUCGGUGCUAAUACCGCAUAACAUACACAUACUGCAUGGUGAGUGUAUCAAAGGAGUAAUCCGCUUUAAGAUGGGCCCGCGGCUGAUUAGCUAGUUGGUAAGGUAACGGCUUACCAAGGCGACGAUCAGUAGCCGACCUGAGAGGGCGACCGGCCACACUGGAACUGAGACACGGUCCAGACUCCUACGGGAGGCAGCAGUGGGGAAUAUUGCGCAAUGGGGGAAACCCUGACGCAGCAACGCCGCGUGGAGGAAGAAGGUCUUCGGAUUGUAAACUCCUGUCUUCUGGGAAGAUAAUGACGGUACCAGAGGAGGAAGCCACGGCUAACUACGUG
rnacentral:rRNA from 1 species